CAAAUGGAACUGACUGUAAAUCAGUGGGCGCAAGCCUUCGGGGGUUCGAAUCCCUCCCUCGGCA
rnacentral:tRNA from 1 species